rnacentral:rRNA from 1 species
ACGACGUCAAGUCAUCAUCGGCCCUUAUGUCCGUGGGCUACACACGUGCUACAAUGGCCGGUACAGAGUGAAGCGAAACCGCGAGGUGAAGACAAAACGCAGAAAGCCGGUCUCAGUACGGAUUGGAGUCUGAAACUCGACUUCAUGAAGUUGGAAUCGCUAGUAAUCGCGCAUCAGCAUGGCGCGGUGAAUACGUUCCCGGGCCUU